rnacentral:rRNA from 1 species
AGCGAACGCUGGCGGCAGGCUUAACACAUGCAAGUCGAACGCCCGUAGCAAUACGGGAGUGGCAGACGGGUGAGUAACACGUGGGAACGUGCCCUUCAGUUCGGAACAACCCAGGGAAACUUGGGCUAAUACCGGAUACGUCCGUAAGGAGAAAGAUUUAUCGCUGAAGGAUCGGCCCGCGUCUGAUUAGCUAGUUGGUGAGGUAACGGCUCACCAAGGCGACGAUCAGUAGCUGGCUGAGAGGACGAUCAGCCACACUGGGACUGAGACACGGCCCAGACUCCUACGGGAGGCAGCAGUGGGGAAUCUUGGACAAUGGGCGCAAGCCUGAUCCAGCCAUGCCGCGUGAGUGAUAAGGCCUUAGGGUUGUAAAGCUCUUUCGGUGGGGAAGAUAAUGACGGUACCCACAGAAGAAAGCCCCGGCUAACUUCGUGCCAGCCGCCGCGGU